rnacentral:rRNA from 1 species
GACGAACGCUGGCGGCGUGCUUAACACAUGCAAGUCGAACGGAAAGGCCCUGCUUGCAGGGUACUCGAGUGGCGAACGGGUGAGUAACACGUGGGUGAUCUGCCCUGCACUUCGGGAUAAGCCUGGGAAACUGGGUCUAAUACCGGAUAGGAGCCAUUUUUAGUGUGAUGGUUGGAAAGUUUUUUUCGGUGUAGGAUGAGCUCGCGGCCUAUCAGCUUGUUGGUGGGGUAAUGGCCUACCAAGGCGGCGACGGGUAGCCGGCCUGAGAGGGUGGACGGCCACAUUGGGACUGAGAUACGGCCCAGACUCCUACGGGAGGCAGCAGUGGGGAAUAUUGCACAAUGGGCGCAAGCCUGAUGCAGCGACGCCGCGUGGGGGAUGACGGCCUUCGGGUUGUAAACUCAUUUCGCUAGGGACGAAGCUUUUUGUGACGGUACCUAGAUAAGAAGCACCGGCUAACUACGUG